AACGCUAGCUACAGGCUUAACACAUGCAAGUCGAGGGGAAACGACAUCGAAAGCUUGCUUUUGAUUGGCGUCGACCGGCGCACGGGUGAGUAACGCGUAUCCAACCUGCCCACCACUUGGGGAUAACCUUGCGAAAGUAAGACUAAUACCCAAUGAUAUCUCUAGAAGACAUCUGAAAGGGAUUAAAGAUUUAUCGGUGAUGGAUGGGGAUGCGUCUGAUUAGCUUGUUGGCGGGGUAACGGCCCACCAAGGCUACGAUCAGUAGGGGUUCUGAGAGGAAGGUCCCCCACAUUGGAACUGAGACACGGUCCAAACUCCUACGGGAGGCAGCAGUGAGGAAUAUUGGUCAAUGGACGAGAGUCUGAACCAGCCAAGUAGCGUGCAGGAUGACGGCCCUGUGAGUUGUAAACUGCUUUUAUAAGGGAAUAAAGUGAGUCUCGUGAGACUUUUUGCAUGUACCUUAUGAAUAAGGACCGGCUAAUUCCGUGCCAGCAGCCGCGGUAAUACGGAAGGUCCGGGCGUUAUCCGGAUUUAUUGGGUUUAAAGGGAGCGUAGGCCGGAGAUUAAGCGUGUUGUGAAAUGUAGAUGCUCAACAUCUGCACUGCAGCGCGAACUGGUUUCCUUGAGUACGCACAAAGUGGGCGGAAUUCGUGGUGUAGCGGUGAAAUGCUUAGAUAUCACGAAGAACUCCGAUUG
rnacentral:rRNA from 1 species